CAGACAAAUCCAUAGACAGAAAAAGUAUACUAGUUGUUGCCAGGAGCUGGGGGGAAGGGAAGGACAGGGGAGUCACUGCUCAUGGGUACAAGGUUUCUUUCAGGAUGGUGAAAAUGAAAAUGUUCUAAAAUUGACUGUGGUGGCUGACAGUUAUACAACCCAGUGACUACAAUAAAAACUACUGAACUGUAUAUUAAAAAGGUUUCAGAAGGAGCCCCUGCUACCCAGUGGUGGAUUAACAUAGACCCACUGGAUAGAUAGCCAUGCACCCAAAGAACAAGAUCUCUGCGAAAGGCUAUCCAUGCCAUAACAUUACUUUCCCUAACAAAUGGACACCUCUCUGGUCCAGGUUCUAGCAAACCUAGCCCCUGCUAUCUCAAAGAGUACUCCAUUUACCUCUUAGGCUGGUCUCCUUUAGCCAGGUGAGAAGAGCUCUGCCUUUCUUCCUGGGCCCAGCCACAGUUUGACAUAGCAUAUCGAAGAAUGGCAUCAGACACAGUCAUGGUGCUUCGGCCCUGGACACAGGCUUCUAUCUCAGGCACCGAAAGCUGGCUUUGCAGGAAGAGGUGCAACUGACUGUCUGACAAGAGAACCACACUCUGCAGGACCCUGGGGAAAACACAGGUAGCACGACACAGAGCAUCACCCUGAGGAACUGCUCUCCAUUCUCCGUCCUCUGAAGGGCUUCUGGCUACCUGAGCAGGGAGUUCCAUCCUGCCUGGUGCCUUCCUCCACCCACCCUUGCCUCCACACUCAGGGGCCAGUGCCAGCCUGUUAAGUCCACUCACUUUUCAAGGAAGUGCUGUAGACCUUGUCGUCGCUUCUCAAUAAACUCAUCUGAGGUGCCAAAGAAGGUUGACUUCCCAGGAAGUUCAGGUACAGGCCUGUGGAGCCACAUGAUAUAACACCCAUGAUAAGUGUAACAUCUAAGAUAGUCAUUCUAGCCUCAGAUCAAGGAAACACCCUGAAAAGAGGCCUAGUCAAUACAAUUAGCUUUUAAUAAAGGGUUGUGUUAACAUUGA